rnacentral:tRNA from 2 species
GUGGGUCGUUAGCUCAGUUGGUAGAGCAGUUGACUUUUAAUCAAUUGGUCGCAGGUUCGAAUCC